rnacentral:tRNA from 1 species
GCCGAGGUGGCGGAAUAGGUAGACGCGCUGCGUUCAGGGCGCAGUGGGCAUAAGCCCAUAGGGGUUCGAGUCCCCUCCUCGGCA